rnacentral:rRNA from 1 species
CAGCAGCCGCGGUAAUACGAAGGGUGCAAGCGUUAAUCGGAAUUACUGGGCGUAAAACGUGCGUAGGCGGUUUGUUAAGUCUGUUGUGAAAUCCCCGGGCUCAACCUGGGAAUGGCAAUGGAUACUGGCAAGCUAGAGUGUGUCAGAGGAUGGUGGAAUUCCCGGUGUAGCGGUGAAAUGCGUAGAGAUCGGGAGGAACAUCAGUGGCGAAGGCGGCCAUCUGGGACAACACUGACGCUGAGGCACGAAAGCGUGGGGAGCAAACAGGAUUAGAUACCCGCGUAGUCCCUGUCUCUUAUAA